CAACCCUGUUCCUGGAGAGAAACCCUCCUGUAGGUUUACACUCCAACCCUGUUCCUGGAGAGAUACCCUCCUGUAGGUUUACACUCCAACCCUGUUCCUGGAGAGAAACCCUCCUGUAGGUUUACACUCCAACCCUGUUCCUGGAGAGAAACCCUCCUGUAGGUUUUAACUCCAACCCUGUUCCUGGAGAGAUACCCUCCUGUAGGUUUACACUCCAACCCUGUUCCUGGAGAGAUACCCUCCUGUAGGUUUACACUCCAACCCUGUUCCUGGAGAGAUACCCUCCUGUAGGUUUACACUCCAACCCUGUUCCUGGAGAGAUACCCUCCUGUAGGUUUACACUCCAACCCUGUUCCUGGAGAGAUACCCUCCUGUAGGUUUUAACUCCAACCCUGUUCCUGGAGAGAUGCCCUCCUGUAGGUUUAUACUCCAACCCUGUUCCUGGAGAGAAACCCUCCUGUAGGUUUAUACUCCAACCCUGUUCCUGGAGAGAUACCCUCCUGUAGGUUUUAACUCCAACCCUGUUCCUGGAGAGAUACCCUCCUGUAGGUUUUAACUCCAACCCUGUUCCUGGAGAGAAACCCUCCUGUAGGUUUACACUCCAACCCUGUUCCUGGAGAGAUACCCUCCUGUAGGUUUACACUCCAACCCUGUUCCUGGAGAGAUACCCUCCUGUAGGUUUACACUCCAACCCCAGUUGUAACUAACCUGAUUCAGCUUAUCAACCAGCUAAUUAUUAG
rnacentral:lncRNA from 1 species